rnacentral:rRNA from 2 species
AGACCCGAAACCCGGUGAUCUAGCCAUGGGCAGGUUGAAGGUUGGGUAACACUAACUGGAGGACCGAACCGACUAAUGUUGAAAAAUUAGCGGAUGACCUGUGGCUGGGGGUGAAAGGCCAAUCAAACCGGGAGAUAGCUGGUUCUCCCCGAAAGCUAUUUAGGUAGCGCCUCGUGAAUUCAUCUCCGGGGGUAGAGCACUGUUUCGGCUAGGGGGCCAUCCCGGCUUACCAACCCGAUGCAAACUGCGAAUACCGGAGAAUGUUAUCACGGGAGACACACGGCGGGUGCUAACGUCCGUCGUGAAGAGGGAAACAACCCAGACCGCCAGCUAAGGUCCCAAAGUCAUGGUUAAGUGGGAAACGAUGUGGGAAGGCCCAGACAGCCAGGAUGUUGGCUUAGAAGCAGCCAUCAUUUAAAGAAAGCGUAAUAGCUCACUGGUCGAGUCGGCCUGCGCGGAAGAUGUAACGGGGCUAAACCAUGCACCGAAGCUGCGGCAGCGACACUAUGUGUUGUUGGGUAGGGGAGCGUUCUGUAAGCCUGCGAAGGUGGCCUGUGAGGGUUGCUGGAGGUAUCAGAAGUGCGAAUGCUGACAUAAGUAACGAUAAAGCGGGUGAAAAGCCCGCUCGCCGGAAGACCAAGGGUUCCUGUCCAACGUUAAUCGGGGCAGGGUGAGUCGACCCCUAAGGCGAGGCCGAAAGGCGUAGUCGAUGGGAAACGGGUUAAUAUUCCCGUACUUGGUGUUACUGCGAAGGGGG